CAGGGAUGAGGAUCUUAGGGAGGGCAAAGUUACAAGGCUGCUCUUGAUUUAUUAUUGAAUUGUGUUGCGCUUUCUUGCACUGCCAUAGCGUCAUCAGCUGGCUGACUAGCUGGCUGCAACCUGGUGUCUGAGAAUUUCGUAUUAUUCUUUAAGUAAAUCUGGGCGACCUAAUUUAUUUUGUAUGUUAUGUUUCAUAUGGGAGGAAGUGUAUCAGUGGUGACACAAUGUGGACCAACUGGUUCCUGCACCUCGACUCUCACACAGUGAGCCAAACAAGGAAGAAGAACUUAAUUUUUUAGAAAGGUUGGCAAAAAAAAUGAGUGUCUUUUGGGAGAGAGAGGAGGGGACCACUGCCUCUAAAAUGAGUGUCUUUGGGGAGAGAGAGGAGGGGACCACUGCCUCUAAAAUGAGAACGACCUACACGUUGAAGCUGUGGGGAGAGACCAGACUCCCCUGUACCCAGCUGUGUAUCCAUGAAGAGUGAACAGUCUAUGGGGAAACCAAUCAACUUCAGUGUUGGACACUUCUCUACUAGCAAGGAGACCAACAGGAGAGAUCAGAAGCAGAUAUUUCCAGUGGUCAGUCUUCCCAAAGUCAUACAACAGACCUGGACUCGAUAUUCCUCAUGGGGCGGCAGGCAGCCUAGUGGUUAGAGCGUUGGACUAGUAACUGAAAGGUUGCAAGAUCGAAUCCUGGAGCUGACAAGUCACUUGAAGAGACUGUCAUCACUUUAGUGAAGAAAGAACUGAAGAGUUUCAAGAGGAUUCUGAGUCCAGAUCUCCCAGAAUGCUUAGAGUCAGAGAGAGGAUGCUGAAGAUGAGAAGCAGGAGAGCAGGGCCAGAGAGGAUCACACUUCACUUCCUGAGGAACAUGAAACAUAAGUCUGUUUAUUGAUGCUUUAUACACGGUUUUGUCUUUAGAUGUGCUUCUUGACAACAUAAACUCAAAUCCAACCUGAAGAAGAAGUUUCGGUGUGUGUUUGAAGGAAUAGCUGUCCUAGGAAACCCAAG
ensembl:lncRNA